AACGAACGCUGGCGGCAGGCUUAACACAUGCAAGUCGAACGCAUCCUUCGGGGUGAGUGGCAGACGGGUGAGUAACGCGUGGGAACGUGCCCUUCAGUUCGGGAUAACCCAGGGAAACUUGGGCUAAUACCGGAUACGUGCGAGAGCAGAAGGAUUUAUCGCUGAAGGAUCGGCCCGCGUCUGAUUAGCUAGUUGGUGGGGUAAUGGCCCACCAAGGCGACGAUCAGUAGCUGGUCUGAGAGGAUGAUCAGCCACAUUGGGACUGAGACACGGCCCAAGCUCCUACGGGAGGCAGCAGUGGGUAAUAUUGGACAAUGGGCGCAAGCCUGAUCCAGCCAUGCCGCGUGAGUGAUGAAGGCCUUAGGGUUGUAAAGCUCUUUCGUCCGGGACGAUAAUGACGGUACCGGAAGAAGAAGCCCCGGCUAACUUCGUGCCAGCCGCCGCGGUAA
rnacentral:rRNA from 1 species